GCUUAAUGACGUACUGGGAAACGUAGGUAGUUUCUUUCGGUACAUUUUGCAAGGUGCUGCAUGGUUGUCGUCAGCUCGUGCCGUGAGGUGUCGGGUUAAGUCCCAUAACGAGCGCAACCCCUAUUGUUAGUUGCCAUCAGGUCAUGCUGGGGACUCUAACAAAACUGCCCGCGUAAGCGUGGAGGAAGGUGGGGAUGACGUCAAAUCAGCACGGCCCUUACGUCCAGGGCUACACACGUGCUACAAUGGCCGGUACAGAGGGCAGCCACUUGGUGACAAGGAGCAAAUCUCAAAAGCCGGUCUCAGUUCGGAUCGGAGUCUGCAACUCGACUCCGUGAAGUUGGAUUCGCUAGUAAUCGUAGAUCAGCAAUGCUACGGUGAAUACGUUCCCGGGCCUU
rnacentral:rRNA from 1 species